GUGAAGAUGCAGUGUACCCGCGGCAAGACGGAAAGACCCCGUGAACCUUUACUAUAGCUUGACACUGAACAUUGAGCCUUGAUGUGUAGGAUAGGUGGGAGGCUUUGAAGUGUGGACGCCAGUCUGCAUGGAGCCGACCUUGAAAUACCACCCUUUAAUGUUUGAUGUUCUAACGUGGACCCGUUACCCGGGUUGCGGACAGUGUCUGGUGGGUAGUUUGACUGGGGCGGUCUCCUCCUAAAGAGUAACGGAGGAGCACGAAGGUUGGCUAAUCCUGGUCGGACAUCAGGAGGUUAGUGCAAUGGCAUAAGCCAGCUUGACUGCGAGCGUGACGGCGCGAGCAGGUGCGAAAGCAGGUCAUAGUGAUCCGGUGGUUCUGAAUGGAAGGGCCAUCGCUCAACGGAUAAAAGGUACUCCGGGGAUAACAGGCUGAUACCGCCCAAGAGUUCAUAUCGACGGCGGUGUUUGGCACCUCGAUGUCGGCUCAUCACAUCCUGGGGCUGAAGUAGGUCCCAAGGGUAUGGCUGUUCGCCAUUUAAAGUGGUACGCGAGCUGGGUUUAGAACGUCGUGAGACAGUUCGGUCCCUAUCUGCCGUGGGCGCUGGAGAACUGAGGGGGGCUGCUCCUAGUACGAGAGGACCGGAGUGGACGCAUCACUGGUGUUCGGGUUGUCAUGCCAAUGGCACUGCCCGGUAGCUAAAUGCGGAAGAGAUAAGUGCUGAAAGCAUCUAAGCACGAAACUUGCCCCGAGAUGAGUUCUCCCUGAGACUUAGAGUCUCCUGAAGGAACGUUGAAGACGACGACGUUGAUAGGCCGGGUGUGUAAGCGCAGCGAUGCGUUGAGCUAACCGGUACUAAUGAACCGUGAGGCUUAACCUUACAACGCCGAAG
rnacentral:rRNA from 1 species